UACGUAGGGGGCGAGCGUUGUCCGGAUUUAUUGGGCGUAAAGAGCGUGUAGGCGGCCAGGUAGGUCUGCUGUGAAAACUCGAGGCUCAACCUCGAGACGUCGGCGGAAACCAUCUGGCUAGAGUCCGGAAGAGGAGAGUGGAAUUCCUGGUGUAGCGGUGAAAUGCGCAGAUAUCAGGAAGAACACCCGUGGCGAAAGCGGCUCUCUGGAACGGUACUGACGCUGAGACGCGAAAGCGUGGGGAGCGAACAGG
rnacentral:rRNA from 1 species